GAUCCUGGCUCAGGAUGAACGCUAGCGGCAGGCUUAACACAUGCAAGUCGAGGGGCAGCAUAAUGGAUAGCAAUAUCUAUGGUGGCGACCGGCGCACGGGUGCGUAACGCGUAUGCAACCUACCUUUAACGAGGGGGAUAACACUGAGAAAUUGGUACUAACUACCCCAUAAUAUCAUAGAAGGCAUCUUUUUAUAGGUUUGAAAAUUUCCGAUGGUUAGGAGAUGGGCAUGCGUUGUAUUAG
rnacentral:rRNA from 1 species